rnacentral:rRNA from 1 species
GAUUAACGCUGGCGGCGUGCAUAACACAUGCAAGUCGAACGAAGUGGCGGACGGGUGAGUAACGCGUGAGUAACCUGCCUUAGAGAAGGGGAUAGCCUUUGGAAACGAAGAAUAAUACCCUAUGCUCGAAGAUGGACUUGCGUCUGAUUAGUUAGUUGGUGGGGUAACGGCCCACCAAGACAGCGAUCAGUAGCCGGCUUGAGAGAGUGUACGGCCACAUUGGGACUGGGACACGGCCCAGACUCUACGGGAGGCAGCAGUGGGGAAUUUUGCACAAUGGGGGAAACCCUGAGGCGGCGACGCCGCGUGAUUUAGAAGGCCUGCGGGUUGUAAAAAUCUUUUCUAUGGGAAGCGGUACCAUAAGAAAAAGCCCCGGCUAACUACGUGCCAGCAGCCGCGGUAAUAC